GACGAACGCUGGCGGCGUGCUUAACACAUGCAAGUCGAACGGAAAGGCCCUGCUUUUGUGGGGUGCUCGAGUGGCGAACGGGUGAGUAACACGUGAGUAACCUGCCCUUGACUUUGGGAUAACUUCAGGAAACUGGGGCUAAUACCGGAUAGGAGCUCCUGCUGCAUGGUGGGGGUUGGAAAGUUUCGGCUGUUGGGGAUGGACUCGCGGCUUAUCAGCUUGUUGGUGGGGUAGUGGCUUACCAAGGCUUUGACGGGUAGCCGGCCUGGGAGGGUGACCGGCCACAUUGGGACUGAGAUACGGCCCAGACUCCUACGGGAGGCAGCAGUGGGGAAUAUUGCACAAUGGGCGGAAGCCUGAUGCAGCAACGCCGCGUGCGGGAUGACGGCCUUCGGGUUGUAAACCGCUUUCGCCUGUGACGAAGCGUGAGUGACGGUAAUGGGUAAAGAAGCACCGGCUAACUACGUG
rnacentral:rRNA from 1 species